UCAUCAUUGAUGCCUCUCUCUCUCUCUCUCCUUCUCUCUGAAAUCAAUAAAAACAUAUAUUUAAAAGCCACUCUGUUAAGGGAACCCAUGGAGUUCCUAAAAAUGUGUGACACUCUCCUUGGAGUAGAAUGCAUCGACAGCUUGCUGAAGCGGAAAUAAAUAUUCAAGUGAAAGAAGUUUGAUCCAGUCCAAUCACGAGCUGUGGUUUAUUCCUCCUGGAAGAGCACGGACCCAGACAUGGGCGACAGGACACAGGAACACAUACAUUUUCUGGAAUCGCCGGACAGAGGGCGAGGGGCGAGGAGGCCGCUGUCUGCUCACAGAACACGGCACAUGCCGGGAGGCCUCCGGGACCCGUCCUGACCACACUCCGACCUCAGCUGUGCCUGACACCUCCUGGUAGACCAGCCCACAGUAACUAUGGUAACAGAGGGGACGGUGCUGUGGAAAAGCCUCGUUAGACGAUCACGGGGCAAAGGGUCGACCUCCCACAUGUGUGUCUUUUUUUAUUGGGGACUAGGUGGACUUUCCCGGGGGACAUCCCCGGGGGACAGUGGAGUGGCAGAGUCAGAGGUGAGCAGGGGAGCCACGCCCG